GCACAAGCGGUGGAGCAUGUGGUUUAAUUCGACGCAACGCGCAGAACCUUACCAGUCCUUGACAUCCCGGUCGCGGACUCCAGAGACGGAGUUCUUCAGUUCGGCUGGACCGGAGACAGGUGCUGCAUGGCUGUCGUCAGCUCGUGUCGUGAGAUGUUGGGUUAAGUCCCGCAACGAGCGCAACCCCCGUCCUUAGUUGCUACCAUUUAGUUGAGCACUCUAAGGAGACUGCCGGUGAUAAGCCGCGAGGAAGGUGGGGAUGACGUCAAGUCCUCAUGGCCCUUACGGGCUGGGCUACACACGUGCUACAAUGGCGGUGACAAUGGGACGCUAAGGGGCAACCCUUCGCAAAUCUCAAAAAGCCGUCUCAGUUCGGAUUGGGCUCUGCAACUCGGGUGCAUGAAGGUGGAAUCGCUAGUAAUCGCAGAACAGCAGGCUGCGGUGAAUACGUUCCCGGGC
rnacentral:rRNA from 1 species